GACGAACGCUGGCGGCGUGCCUAACACAUGCAAGUGGAGCGACGAACCGGGCUUCGGCCCGGGGCCAAGCCGCGAACGGGUGAGUAACACGUGGGUAACCUGCCCUGAUGAUUGGGACAACCCGAGGAAACUCGGGCUAAUACCGAAUGUGCCCUCCGACCAUAAGGUCUGCGGGGAAAGGAAGCUUCGGCCUCCGCAUCGGGAUGGGCCCGCGGCGCAUUAGCUUGUUGGUGAGGUAACGGCUCACCAAGGCGACGAUGCGUAGCUGGUCUGAGAGGACGAUCAGCCACACUGGGACUGAGACACGGCCCAGACUCCUACGGGAGGCAGCAGUGGGGAAUCUUGCGCAAUGCGCGAAAGCGUGACGCAGCAACGCCGCGUGGGGAAGACGGCC
rnacentral:rRNA from 1 species